rnacentral:rRNA from 1 species
GACGAACGUUAGCGGCGCGCCUAACACAUGCAAGUCGCACGAGAAAGGGCUUCGGCCCCGGUACAGUGGCGCACGGGUGAGUAACACGUGGGUAAUCUGCCUUCGAGGCGGGGGAUAACAUUCCGAAAGGAGUGCUAAUACCGCAUAAGACCACGCCCUCGAAAGAGGAAGCGGUCAAAGCUGGCCUCUAUACAUAAGCUAGCACUUGAAGAUGAGCCCGCGGAGCANCAGCUAGUUGGUG